rnacentral:rRNA from 1 species
UGGGGAAUAUUGGACAAUGGGGGCAACCCUGAUCCAGCCAUGCCGCGUGUGUGAAGAAGGCCUUUUGGUUGUGAAGCACUUUAAGCAGUGAAGAAGACUCCAUGGUUAAUACCCAUGGACGAUGACAUUAGCUGCAGAAUAAGCACCGGCUAACUCUGUGCCAGCAGCCGCGGUAAUACAGAGGGUGCAAGCGUUAAUCGGAAUUACUGGGCGUAAAGCGAGCGUAGGUGGCUUGAUAAGUCAGAUGUGAAAGCCCCGGGCUUAACCUGGGAACGGCAUCUGAUACUGUUAGGCUAGAGUAGGUGAGAGGAAGGUAGAAUUCCAGGUGUAGCGGUGAAAUGCGUAGAGAUCUGGAGGAAUACCGAUGGCGAAGGCAGCCUUCUGGCAUCAUACUGACACUGAGGUUCGAAAGCGUGGGUAGCAAACA